rnacentral:rRNA from 1 species
UACGAAGGGGGCUAGCGUUGUUCGGAUUUACUGGGCGUAAAGCGCGUGUAGGCGGGUCGUUAAGUUGGGAGUGAAAUCCCGAGGCUCAACCUCGGAACUGCCUUCAAAACUGACGGCCUGGACCCAAGUAGAGGCAAGUGGAAUUGCGAGUGUAGAGGUGAAAUUCGUAGAUAUUCGCAGGAACACCAGUGGCGAAGGCGACUUGCUGGACUUGUGGUGACGCUGAGACGCGAAAGCGUGGGGAGCAAACAGG